rnacentral:rRNA from 1 species
AUUGAACGCUGGCGGCAUGCUUUACACAUGCAAGUCGAACGGCAGCACGGGUGCUUGCACCUGGUGGCGAGUGGCGGACGGGUGAGUAAUGCAUCGGAACGUGUCCUGAAGUGGGGGAUAACGCAUCGAAAGAUGUGCUAAUACCGCAUAUUCUCUGAGGAGGAAAGUAGGGGAUCGAAAGACCUUAUGCUUUUGGAGCGGCCGAUGUCUGAUUAGCUAGUUGGUAGGGUAAUGGCUUACCAAGGCGACGAUCAGUAGUUGGUCUGAGAGGACGACCAGCCACACUGGGACUGAGACACGGCCCAGACUCCUACGGGAGGCAGCAGUGGGGAAUUUUGGGACAAUGGGCGCAAGCCUGGUCCAGCAAUGCCGCGUGAGUGAAGAAGGCC